rnacentral:rRNA from 1 species
CCGUACACAAAAGCGCAUGUGCUGUGAGCUCGAUGAGUAGGGCGGGACACGUGGUAUCCUGUCUGAAUAUGGGGGGACCAUCCUCCAAGGCUAAAUACUCCUGACUGACCGAUAGUGAACCAGUACCGUGAGGGAAAGGCGAAAAGAACCCCGGCGAGGGGAGUGAAAAAGAACCUGAAACCGUGUACGUACAAGCAGUGGGAGCCCCACCACUAAGCCAGUGGUGAACUCCACAUCCGCAUCCUUUGCUGAGGAUACGGUUAACGGAGCGAAAGCGACGUUCAACCGCAAAACAAGCAGAGGGGGCUUAGUGGUGGGGUGACUGCGUACCUUUUGUAUAAUGGGUCAGCGACUUAUAUUCUGUAGCAAGGUUAACCGAAUAGGGGAGCCGGAGGGAAACCGAGUCUUAAUUGGGCGUUAAGUUGCAGGGUAUAGACCCGAAACCCGGUGAUCUAGCCAUGGGCAGGUUGAAGGUUGGGUAACACUAACUGGAGGACCGAACCGACUAAUGUUGAAAAAUUAGCGGAUGACCUGUGGCUGGGGGUGAAAGGCCAAUCAAACCGGGAGAUAGCUGGUUCUCCCCGAAAGCUAUUUAGGUAGCGCCUCGUGAAUUCAUCUCCGGGGGUAGAGCACUGUUUCGGCUAGGGGGCCAUCCCGGCUUACCAACCCGAUGCAAACUGCGAAUACCGGAGAAUGUUAUCACGGGAGACACACGGCGGGUGCUAACGUCCGUCGUGAAGAGGGAAACAACCCAGACCGCCAGCUAAGGUCCCAAAGUCAUGGUUAAGUGGGAAACGAUGUGGGAAGGCCCAGACAGCCAGGAUGUUGGCUUAGAAGCAGCCAUCAUUUAAAGAAAGCGUAAUAGCUCACUGGUCGAGUCGGCCUGCGCGGAAGAUGUAACGGGGCUAAACCAU